GCGUGAGUGUGGGUUAAGUCCCGCAACGAGCGCAACCCUCGACCUUAGUUGCCAGCAUUCAGUUGGGCACUCUAAGGUGACUGCCGGCUAAAAAGUCGGAGGAAGGUGGGGAUGACGUCAAAUCAUCAUGCCCCUUAUGACCUGGGCUACACACGUGCUACAAUGGGCGGUACAAAGGGUCGCGAACCCGCGAGGGGGAGCCAAUCCCAAAAAGCCGCUCUCAGUUCGGAUUGCAGGCUGCAACUCGCCUGCAUGAAGCCGGAAUCGCUAGUAAUCGCGGAUCAGCAUGCCGCGGUGAAUACGUUCCCGGGCCUU
rnacentral:rRNA from 1 species